UCCCUGGUGGCUCAGAUGGUAAAGCGUCUGCCUACAAUGCUGGAGACCCAGGUUCAAUCCCUUGGUUGGGAA
rnacentral:tRNA from 1 species